CCGUGCGAAGGUAGCGCAAUCACUUGUCUUUUAAAUGGGGACCUGUAUGAAUGGCAUAACGAGGGCUUGACUGUCUCCUCUUUCAAGUCAAUGAAAUUGAUCUCCCCGUGCAGAAGCGGGGAUAAAAACAUAAGACGAGAAGACCCUAUGGAGCUUCAGACACUAAAGCAGAUCAGCAUUAAUAUCCUGAACAUGGGACAUGAAUACACUGAGCCCUGCCCUAAUGUCUUAGGUUGGGGCGACCGCGGAGUAACAAAAAACCCCGGCAAGGGACCGAUUGUUUUACUUUCCAACCAAGAGCGACAGCUCUAUUUAACAGACACUUCUGACCAAUCAGAUCCGGCAAACGCCGAUAAAUGGACCAACGUUACCCUAGGGAUAACAGCGCAAUCUCCUCUUUUAAAACCCGUAUCAAACGAGGAGGUUUACGACCUCAAUGUUGAGAUCAGACCAUCCUUAUGGUGCAGCCGCUAUUUAAGGUUCGU
rnacentral:rRNA from 1 species